rnacentral:rRNA from 1 species
UACGAAGGGGGCUAGCGUUGCUCGGAAUUACUGGGCGUAAAGGGCGCGUAGGCGGGUUGCUAAGUUAGAGGUGAAAGCCCAGGGCUCAACCCUGGAAUUGCCUUUAAUACUGGCAGCCUUGAGUAUGGCAGAGGUGUGUGGAACUCCGAGUGUAGAGGUGAAAUUCGUAGAUAUUCGGAAGAACACCAGUGGCGAAGGCGACACACUGGGCCAUUACUGACGCUGAGGCGCGAAAAGCGUGGGGAGCAAACAGG